rnacentral:rRNA from 1 species
CCUACGGGGGGCAGCAGUGGGGAAUUUUGCGCAAUGGGGGAAACCUUGACGCAGCGACGCCGCGUGGGUGAUGAAUGCCUUCGGGUUGUAAAGCCCUGUUGGGGGGGAAGAUAAUGACGGUACCCCCUGAGGAAGCCCCGGCUAACUACGUGCCAGCAGCCGCGGUAAGACGUAGGGGGCGAGCGUUGUCCGGAAUUACUGGGCGUAAAGGGCGUGUAGGCGGCUUUUCAAGUCGGCUGUGAAAUUCCCCGGCUUAACCGGGGGGGUGCAGUCGAAACUGAUUGGCUUGAGUGCAGGAGAGGGUGGUGGAAUUCCCGGUGUAGCGGUGACAUGCGUAGAUAUCGGGAGGAACACCGGUGGCGAAGGCGACCUCCUGGCCUGUUACUGACGCUGAGGCGCGAAAGCCGGGGGAGCAAACAGGAUUAGAUACCCUGGUAGUCCCGGCCGUAAACUCUGGGUACUAGGUGUAGGGGGCUUCGAUGCCUUCUGUGCCGUAGUUAACGCAUUAAGUACCCCGCCUGGGGAGUACGAUCGCAAGGUUGAAACUCAAAGGAAUUGACGGGGGCCCGCACAAGCGGUGGAGCAUGUGGUUUAAUUCGAUGCAACGCGAAGAACCUUACCAGGGCUUGACAUCUGCCUGACGGUCCUUGGAAACUUGGGCUUUCUUUCGGGACAGGUAGACAGGUGGUGCAUGGCUGUCGUCAGCUCGUGUCGUGAGAUGUUGGGUUAAGUCCCGCA